GAUGAAGAACGUAGCGAAAUGCGAUAAGUAAUGUGAAUUGCAGAAUUCAGUGAAUCAUCGAAUCUUUGAACGCACAUUGCGCCCGCCAGUAUUCUGGCGGGCAUGCCUGUUCGAGCGUCAUUACAACCCUCAGGCCCCCGGGCCUGGCGUUGGGGAUCGGCGGAGCCCCCCGUGGGCACACGCCGUCCCCCAAAUGCAGUGGCGGUCCCGCCGCAGCUUCCAUCGCGUAGUAGCUAACACUUCGCGACUGGAGAGCGGCGCGGCCACGCCGUAAAACACCCAACUCUUCUGAAGUUGACCUCGAAUCAGGUAGGAAUACCCGCUGAACUUAAGCAUAUCAAUAAGCGGAGGA
rnacentral:misc_RNA from 1 species